GCAGUGAUGUUCCCUGGUAGGAUGCUUACCUUCCAUGUGGGAGACCUGGGUUUGAUUCCCAGCCAGUGCU
rnacentral:tRNA from 1 species